AGUUGUUAAACUCAAGUUUAUUGAAAUUAAUUCAAUUAAACAUUCAAAUUUCUUCCACUGAUAUAAAACUAAGUCUUAAGUAAAGGUAACUUGGCUCUAAUCCAAUGGGCCAGAUUAGAAUUAAAUAAUAAAAUUGGGGCGCUAAGUUUAAUUUUGGGGAAUCACAAUAAAUCCAUUCUCCUAAGGGUACUCAGGCUGGUGCCAUUAUAUUCAUCUAGAUCCCCUCACAUUUAAUGAAGAAACGAUCCUUUCUGAUCCACAAUCUGCUGAGUUUCGUUAGGUAUCAUCACGGGGGUGCCUGGAGUUACAAUGAGCACAUGAGUCAUAUUUUCUGUUACUCCAGGGAGAAGGGCAGAUCUUACCCACAAAUCCAGAAGGCAGCCUGCAGCACCUGGGGCUCCGUCCAGGACGAAUCAGUGGGCACAGUCAGGCUGUCUCCUAUUCCGGUAACUGGGAUAUCAGGAUUCUCCAAAGAAUCAUGUGAUGAGAAGGCAGCACACAGCUGCCCUCUGGAGUGCUGUUGUCCUUCACUCUUGCUGGAAGCCACCUGACCACUGCCAGGAAGAAGAAUGCAAAACAUUCCCAGGAGCGGCUGUGACGUCAGUACCACAUUCCACUCUCCGCGGUCAGGACUGUGGGGAAACUCCAGCCUCUAGCGAACCCUUCAGAUGAGAUAACAGCUGAGCCUGCACUAAAUCACACUGAGAACUUCCCAAUGUUAUGCUUUAAAGAUGGAUAUUUUUUAUAAAAAGGAGGGAGGGCAGGAACAGAGCUGGCUUUUUAAGGCAUAUUUACUGUUAAUCUUCAAAAGUGCUUUUUUGUUUGCUAUGUGGAGGGAAAUCAAGGAAAAAUGAUUUACCAACAGUCAUCAGCAUACCAAUCCCUUUGGGCCAGUGAUUUUCAACCAGGGUGCUGCAAGAAUUUUUAAAACAUGGAAUACCUGACUAGUCCGGGGCACUGAGCUCUUUGCCCUUAGAUUUGUAAAAUAAAACAAUGA